GCGCUCGGCCAGCCCUGCAGGGCGAGCAGUCCGGCCCCUGGUUCACCCGAGCUUAAGCCUUGCAGCAGGAGAACUUCCACCUCGCUCUCCUGGCUUUGAGCCUCACUGUACAUCAGACCAGAGGCGUGGAAGGGAGGGAGGAUGCGAGAUGACCGGCCCUUUGGCAACCUGACCAUCUCCUUACCAGAGCCGUUGAAAGCCAGCCGGAGGCUGACUGCACAACCAAGGAGGCGCCGCGCCUCUCGUGGAUGUGUGUGUGUGUGUGUGUGUGAGUGUGUGUGAGCGAGUGUGAGGGUGUGUGUGUGCAUCACAACUGUGUGUGUGUCUGGAUGAGUCUGCGAGUGCACGCGUGAGAGUGUGUGUGUGUGUGUGUGUGUGUGUGAGAGUACUCUCAGUUAUUAUUUUUUUGGAAGAAAAAUCUUGAAAAUCUCGGGCAGGUUACUGUGCUCUUAGGGUGGUGGUUCUUCUGCAAGAGGAGCUGAUCGGACCAAGCUACUAGAGACAUUUUUCAGCGAGUAAAGAGAAUUUUCCUCUGAGAACGAGAGGGAUUUUUCCCCUGGCUCUGCAGCCGUGAAAGAGAUUAGCCCCUACACCUGUGAAAUCGACCAGAGCCGUGUGACUACCAGGGCUGGAGAGAGGACUCGGGAAGAAAAAGAGCAAUAAAUCCAACAGCCUGUCAGUGCCUUUGGCCACGUUGGAAGAUGUCAUCUCAAACUAAGUUCAAGAAAGACAAAGAGAUCAUUGCCGAAUAUGAAGCCCAAAUAAAAGAGAUCCGCACGCAGCUGGUGGAGCAGUUCAAAUGCUUGGAGCAGCAGUCCGAGUCGAGGCUGCAGCUGCUCCAGGACCUCCAGGAGUUUUUUCCGUCGGAAAGCCGAGAUCGAGCUCGAAUACUCCCGCAGCCUGGAGAAGCUGGCCGAGCGCUUCUCCUCCAAGAUCCGCAGCUCCCGGGAGCACCAGUUCAAGAAGGACCAGUAUCUCCUCUCGCCUGUGAACUGUUGGUAUCUAGUCCUGCAUCAAACCAGGCGGGAGAGCCGAGACCAUGCCACCCUCAAUGACAUCUUCAUGAACAAUGUCAUCGUCCGCCUCUCCCAGAUCAGCGAGGAUGUGAUCAGACUCUUCAAAAAGAGCAAGGAGAUUGGCCUGCAGAUGCACGAGGAGCUGCUGAAGGUCACCAACGAGCUCUACACGGUCAUGAAAACCUACCACAUGUACCACGCAGAGAGCAUCAGUGCGGAGAGCAAGCUGAAGGAGGCCGAGAAGCAGGAGGAGAAGCAGUUCAACAAGUCAGGAGACCUCAGCAUGAACCUGCUCCGGCACGAGGACCGGCCCCAGCGCCGCAGCUCUGUGAAGAAGAUUGAGAAGAUGAAGGAGAAGAGGCAGGCAAAGUAUUCCGAGAACAAGCUGAAAUGCACCAAGGCCCGGAAUGACUACUUGCUGAAUCUGGCAGCCACCAACGCAGCUAUAAGCAAAUACUACAUCCAUGAUGUCUCUGACCUGAUUGACUGCUGUGAUUUGGGCUUUCACGCCAGCCUGGCCCGCACCUUCCGGACCUACCUCUCAGCCGAGUACAACCUAGAGACCUCUCGCCAUGAGGGGCUGGACGUCAUCGAGAACGCGGUGGACAACCUGGACUCCCGAAGCGACAAGCACACGGUCAUGGACAUGUGCAACCAGGUCUUCUGUCCCCCCCUCAAGUUUGAGUUCCAGCCUCACAUGGGGGAUGAGGUGUGCCAGGUCAGCGCCCAGCAGCCUGUCCAGACGGAAUUGCUCAUGCGGUACCACCAGCUGCAGUCCAGACUGGCCACGCUCAAGAUAGAGAACGAGGAGGUUAGAAAAACCCUGGAUGCUACAAUGCAGACCUUACAGGACAUGCUGACCGUGGAGGACUUUGACGUCUCCGACGCCUUCCAACACAGUCGGUCCACAGAGUCCGUGAAGUCGGCUGCCUCUGAGACCUACAUGAGCAAGAUCAACAUCGCCAAAAGGAGAGCCAACCAGCAGGAAACAGAAAUGUUUUAUUUUACAAAAUUUAAAGAAUACGUGAACGGCAGUAACCUCAUCACUAAGCUGCAGGCCAAGCACGACUUACUCAAGCAGACUCUGGGCGAAGGGGAGAGAGCAGAAUGCGGCACAACCAGGCCCCCCUGUCUUCCCCCUAAACCACAGAAAAUGAGGAGACCUAGGCCUCUCUCAGUGUGUAGCCAUAAACUAUUUAACGGCUGUAUGGAAGCGUUCAUUAAGGUACUUGCUGGGGAACCAGAGUCCGAGAAUGUGCCCAAUGUAAUGGCAGCCUCUCUCCACCUCUCCCCUGGCCAACAGCCCUACCUCGACAGACCGACUGACUGACGGCCAACCAGACAGACUGGAACUUUGAAUCUGUGCUCUCAGCCAGGCCCGAGGCGAGCUGAUCCUCACGGCAACUGCUUGUAGCUUCAGUAGGGCUUCUCAUUAGAGCUGCUUCUGUCUCUGACCAGUUGCUCCUAAGUGCCUUCCCUUGAUUCCCAGCCCCGGGGGUGAGAUGCGAUCGUGCUGGAAGCCAGGGAAGUCUGGGUGGCACUGAACCCCUGCUGGCACAGUGGUCCCUGCCAGCCACACUGCGCUGCUUCAGGAACUGCAGUCCAACCAGCCCAAGGGACAGUUAGCGAAACGCCCUUACCUUGAGUCACACUUACGGCUCCCGAGAGGGGACUGGCUGGAAGCUACGCAAAGAAAACCCCCAUGGGUACAGCUGAGAAUAUACAAGCAAGGGAAACACGUACAAUUUGAAUGAGGGACAACCCUCCCACCUAGUUGUGCUUGUUGUGAGGCAGUUUGGCAGAAGGGAGAAGAGCUGAGGUAGUCCCUUUCAAAUUCCAGGUUAACCCUUUACAACUUAAACAAAAAAAGGCUUUUCACCUCAGUGAGUCUUUUCUUUUCUUGCUUCUUGGCUGCAAAGGGUGCAGGAUCCCGCCAUGCUGGAUAGAAUGGCUCGGAGCAAGUUAAGAUGCUGGUGGAGUUGACAAGGGCAGCAGGUGGGGCACAAAGUUAAGGAAGGGGGGAUGCAUCCUUAACAUGACUUAGGGGAACAGGGGCAGGGUCCCUCCCAGUUACUGGAGAGCCCACCACCAUCUAACGAAGACGGUUUCUGCAGGAAGUAAGACUCAUAUCAGUCAGGAGAGAAGCCAAAGCUUCCGGGCUUAGUUAACACUUUUGGGGUGGUGGAGGCUGCCCCUGCUCCAGCCCUCUAUCCUCCCUCCUCAGGCAGGGUGCGCACAGUACUUGCAGGACAGGGAGGGCCAGCCUCAGGUGUCAGAGGAGGUAGGCAGACCAGCCAGGGCCCAGGACCGUCUCUGCCUGUGGGCUGAGUUCUGGGGAAGGGAUGGUGGGGGAGAGGGAAAGUGGAACAGUGGGGCACAAGUUGGGACAGCCAGGGGCAGGAAUCAGCAGCGGUUGCGUUAGGAGACCUCAGAGAGGGAGGCAUGGAGGACCUCAAAAGGAGGGGUGCCGCUGGGUGCAUUGGGGAAGAGGCACUGUUUGGGGGUGACCCCGAGAGAGCAGUUUGCCAUCCAGUAGGUCAUGGGAGGAGGGGGCUGUGUCACGAGUCCUUUCUUCUUCCUCCCUCCUUGCUGGCUCUGUCAAGACCUUCUUUUUGAAAAAGCCACACGCCGGAGCUGACAGGGGACUGAAGCAGAUUCUCUCUGCCCUCAAGGAGCUUCACGUGUGGCUCAGGAGGUUUUCAACACAGAAAGCUAAAUGUGUCAGAUGCCCCAGGAUGAGCCCUGGGUGACAGCCCCUCGGAAAUAAGUUCUGUGAGAGCCCAGAGCAGGAAGAGCUGUGAGCAGGCGGCAAAGGAAAAGAGGGUACACAGCCAAGGGAGCAGGACGGAGGAGCCCGUGACAGGAGGAGCGGAGUGAAUGAGGCCUCACCAGCGAGGGGACUCCUUCUGGAUUUGCCUCAGCUCUUUGGAAAUGGAUGAUUGAUUGCUCAGGACGCUUGAAAGGAGGUCUUACCUGACAAGACUUGAAAGUCAGGUGUUCUGUUUAGUGAAAGAGUCUCCGAAGGGAGAGCUCCUACAUAAAGUGAUCGGAUGAGC